CAAGUCCAUGAACCACCCAGGCAUCUCUGAUUUGGUUCUUCUUACGUCUUUGGUGCCUUCGGAGUGCUUUGCCAGAUGUCCCACGUGUCAGGAGACCUUUCCACUCCAGAUGGGUGAAAUACAAAUUCUCCCCAGCCUGUGUAUUCUGAA